GCUGGACAUAGUGGCUUGUGCCUGUAGUCCCAGCCACUUGGGAGGCUGAGGUGGGAGGAUUGCUUGAGCCCAGGAGUUUGAGGCUGCAGUGAGCUGUGAUUGUACCACUGCACUCCAACCUGGGCAACAGAGUGAGACCCUGUCUCAA
rnacentral:SRP_RNA from 1 species